CACUGGACUGGGUGCGGGAGCUCUGCGUUCAAGCCCUGGCUCCAACCCUGCCCCGUGGUGUGAGCCUUUCUCUUGGGGCUGGGCUGAGACGAGACUGCAUGAUCCCUGGGACUCUCUUUGGAUUCAGACUCCUGAGAGGGGCAGGGGACAGGCCAGCCUAGCCUUCCAAAUUGAAAUUCAGAAAGGACAGCUACAGGUCCAGGGGAACAUCCAAAUGAAAGAAACCUUUACUGAGCACCUACUAAAUACCAGGAUCCAUUCUGAGACAAGACAAAGGAUCCAGAGGCCAGUCAUAGCUCCUGCUUCCAAAUGGAGAGACAGGGGACGCGCAUGUCUUCUCCACGGUGGAAACGUUGGAAAGGAGAACACCUAACACAUUCGUGGCCCUCAAGAGUUGUUGAAUUCAUCCACAUUUUAGUAUUUACCUUGAGUCAGUCCAGCGAAGACUAUAGAUAUGGGCAAGACACCAUCCUGGCUCCCCAAAAGUUCUCAGUCUACUUGGUACAAGACGACACGGCAGAGAAUAAUCCUGACAGAGCACAUGGUCAAGUGUGUACAAGAAUGCCUACAACACGUGCCCUGGGGCUACAGAGGAGGCAACAGGUAAUUCUAAGUAAGGGAGGGGGAAAGCAAGAACAAA